rnacentral:rRNA from 1 species
AGUGAACGCUGGCGGUAGGCCUAACACAUGCAAGUCGAACGGCAGCACAGUAAGAGCUUGCUCUUACGGGUGGCGAGUGGCGGACGGGUGAGGAAUACAUCGGAAUCUACUUUUUCGUGGGGGAUAACGUAGGGAAACUUACGCUAAUACCGCAUACGACCUACGGGUGAAAGCAGGGGAUCUUCGGACCUUGCGCGAUUGAAUGAGCCGAUGUCGGAUUAGCUAGUUGGCGGGGUAAAGGCCCACCAAGGCGACGAUCCGUAGCUGGUCUGAGAGGAUGAUCCGCCACACUGGAACUGAGACACGGUCCAGACUCCUACGGGAGGCAGCAGUGGGGAAUAUUGGACAAUGGGCGCAAGCCUGAUCCAGCCAUACCGCGUGGGUGAAGAAGGCCUUCGGGUUGUAAAGCCCUUUUGUUGGGAAAGAAAAGCAGCAGGUUAAUACCCCGCUGUUCUGACGGUACCCAAAGAAUAAGUACCGGCUAACUUCGUG